UGCGAACUCCUACGGGAGGCAGCAGUGGGGAAUAUUGGACAAUGGGCGCAAGCCUGAUCCAGCCAUGCCGCGUGUGUGAAGAAGGCCUUCGGGUUGUAAAGCACUUUUGUUGGGGAAGAAAAGCCAUGGGCUAAUACCCUGUGGUUCUGACGGUACCCAAAGAAUAAGCACCGGCUAACUUCGUGCCAGCAGCCGCGGUAAUACGAAGGGUGCAAGCGUUACUCGGAAUUACUGGGCGUAAAGCGUGCGUAGGUGGUUUGUUAAGUCUGAUGUGAAAACCCUGGGCUCAACCUGGGAAUGGCAUUGGAAACUGGCUGACUGGAGUGCGGUAGAGGGUAGUGGAAUUCCCGGUGUAGCAGUGAAAUGCGUAGAUAUCGGGAGGAACAUCCGUGGCGAAGGCGACUACCUGGACCGGCACUGACACUGAGGCACGAAAGCGUGGGGAGCAAACAGGAUUAGAAACCCUAGUAGUCCAGAUG
rnacentral:rRNA from 1 species